rnacentral:rRNA from 1 species
UACGUAGGGGGCGAGCGUUGUCCGGAAUUACUGGGCGUAAAGAGCGUGUAGGCGGGUGCUUAAGUCAGGUGUGAAAGACCGGGGCUCAACUCCGGGGUUGCACUUGAAACUGGGUAUCUUGAGGGCAGGAGAGGAAAGCGGAAUUCCUGGUGUAGCGGUGAAAUGCGUAGAUAUCAGGAGGAACACCGGUGGCGAAGGCGGCUUUCUGGACUGACCCUGACGCUGAGACGCGAAAGCGUGGGGAGCAAACAGGAUUAGAUACCCUGGUAGUCCACGCUGUAAACGAUGGGCACUAGGUGUAGGAGGUAUCGACCCCUUCUGUGCCGCAGCUAACGCAAUAAGUGCCCCGCCUGGGGAGUACGGUCGCAAGGCUGAA